CCACCCCCUGACCCCCUGCCUGCCCGUCUCUCUGCAGAUGCGGACAGGCAUGGUGUACCCCCUGCCUGCCUCCUUCACUGCUGGGUGGAACUCGGGGUGCCCGGGAGCCGCCUCCUCAGGGCUGGCUCAUUUGGGGCCUCGCGCCCGGCCUUAUUUCUGAAAGCGACUCUGAAUCCCCAGAGCUCUGGCGCCUUUGGUCUUCUCACAGUUGUUUUGGAAUUCACGCAUCCUCACUCUCUGCCGGAGCCACCCCUCACCACACACAAGACGGGGUUUGUUGUUUUUCUCGCUGCGAUGCCAAACUACAAAACCAGCGUGGCAGGGCGCCUCCCUCAGUCAUCUGCACAUCAUUCCGCUGUCUCUGGUUCAUUCCCAUCGGUCAGGCCCUCAUUCCAGUUUUCCAGUCACUUACCGGGGCUCCUGUUCCAAUUCCAUUCCCAGGCGCUCAACAAGAUAGCCGAGGCCAGCUCACUCCGCUGGUCCCCAUGUGCCACCGUCUCCCUCUGCAGGUCAUUUGUCAUCAUCUGUCCAUGUGGGCCCAGGGCUCUGUCAACCCCCUGGAGAAGCCGCUUGAAACGACAGCCAAGAACAGGGCCCCCACUGGCUCUUCUUGACCUCCAAGGCCCCCAGGUCCACUUAGGAAAAGGGGGUGGUGGGGAGGCUUGGGGAGAUUCCCUCGCAGCUGAGCAGAAAACAGUGCUGGACGUCGCACUGUGUGGGCACAAGGGCAUUGCUUUAAAGAGUGAACACUGUCCACUGUCUCGGCCGCAGUGGCUGCCACGGGCCCCAUGUUCACCACUCACAGUGAGCCGUGAGUGUCUGGGAGCUGCGAUUCCAGCUGGAUCUCUGGGUGAAAACC
rnacentral:lncRNA from 1 species